GAGCCAGACUUCCAUUUCCUGCAAACCAGGCACCAGACAGCCGCUCGAAUCAAAGCAGCCCGAGGAAUGCUCUAUGAUUCAAUUCCAGAAAGUAAAACAUAAAUCACAGUGAUGAGAACCCCUACGCUUACAAUUCAUUACAUCCGUUCAGGGUGCCGAGGGGAGAGGCUGAACUCCAAGCCCCAUCCCUGGAGGCAGGACACCAUUGCCGCAGCCCUCUCCCGACUGGCACAGAAGAAGUAUAUUCAGAGUUUAUAGAACCUUUUUAUCACUGCAAACAACAUCAUUCACAACGACGAAUGACACGGGAAUGCCCUUAUGCAUGCACAGGAUAGAGCAGCUCCCAUGUGCAUCCAGCUUCGAGUCAGUCUGUCAGGGCUCCUCUCACUGAAUUGUGACAGUAUGCUCAUCACACACCAGCCUGUAUGAAGGUAGAGACUUUGUUUUAACUCACUAUUGAAUCUGACCCACCACCACUGUGUCUGGGUUACACAGGCCUACUAAAGAGUUGUUGAGCGAAUACAUACAUGAGCGUGAAGGAACAAAUAACAAAACAAAGGAAGUUAUCUCUUCACUUUAGCUUGCCAGAAAUUACUCAGUAUCUCUUACCUUUAGUUUUUGACUUUUGAGAAUCGUUAAAGACUUCGUCUCGGGUGUUGAUUCUCUUAAACAGCAAGCAAAAAUACAAUUUUAUGAAGAUUUAAUGAGACAGCAUCAUUGCCAGCUGAGUUUAUCACUCAGGGAGUUUAACAGAAAAUUUGUUAACAUUGUCUUUAAUUUGUUUAAAUAUUUAUGAACACUGCUUUCUAGGGGAUUCUUAUCUGGGGUUAUUGUUUUAUAGAAUUCAUUUUGGUGUGCUUUCAACCAUUUGGUGGUUCAUCUUACUAGAAUUCUGCUAGAAUAGAUGCUGCUAGAAUUCUCGGUAAGUGAUUUGGAAUCUGAGUGGGAGUCUCUUUGGAUUUAAUUUCUGCUUGCUCCACCUUCCAAAGGCCCAGAUUAAAUCAAAGUGUCUGCCAUAAGGAUCUUGGAACAUUCAGGACAUGAGUCCUAAUCACAGCUCAUCAUCUUCAGAUAUGGAAUCUAGAUAAUCUGUGUCAACAUAUAGGAGAAAUCCGGAGAACAAGCUGUCUGCCCAACCUGGGUCUGAGAAGAGGCCGUUCUGGUCAGUGAAGAAGAUCUCCAGCCACACUUCAUCUUCUGGCUGCAGAUAGAUGACCGUGGACCCAGAAGCGACGUCAUGGUUCCCUGUGUUGGCGUCGAAUGUCUUUAUCUUGUACUGCCCAUUGUGAACUAGCCCAAUUGCCAGAUGCUUAUUUGCCAAUGUGAUAUCAUAAGAAAAGUAAUAGAUUCCUGGGAAGGCACAGAUGAACUUCCCUGUGGCAGGGUUGUAGUGCUCUCCCUCAUUGAAGAGGACCUUGUUAAAUAUAAUUGGUAGCCUUUCUUCUGGGUAGCUGGUAGUGAUGCCAACAGAAAAGGCAGAUUUGAGCACAAUGCUUCCGCAUCUACAGACUCCAGGCAGCCCUGGGUCCCCUUGCUCUCCUCUGUCUCCCUUUGCUCCAGGAGGCCCAGCUGGACCUACUUCUCCUUUUUCUCCCUCUGGUCCCAUGGGUCCUUUCUUCCCAGUCUCUCCUUGGUCCCCUUUCUCUCCAACAAGGCCCAGGGGUCCAGUCUUACCUCUCAAACCUUUAAAAAGAGUUUACAGUUUAGUUGAUAGUUCCUCCAUAUAUACAGUCACAAACAGCAUGCCCCACAAAGUGCCAGGACACCCUAGAUGUGUCUCUCCAAUCAACUUGCAAGAGUACACUACUAAAUACUAAUGCAUCUUUAAAAAAAAAUCACUGAUGGAUCAAAACGGAAAUAGAAGAUUUUCAUCAGAAUUUCAGGUGGGGAGACUGAGCCACAGAGAAGUUAGUUUGCUCAAGAAAAUGGGUAGUAAGUGAUGGAGCUGUGACCUGAACUCACGCCUGCCUGACUCUGGAGCUUGAGCAUCCCCCCGAGGCAGGUGCUGGAGUGUACAUUGUAGAGUGCACCAGCACGUAGUGAGGGCUCUCAAUAUGUUACGAUAACCAAACAACAGUGAGGGCCACCCCUUUGCGGUAGUCCUUUUUUGGAGGAGAAAACUGAAUCCCAGAGAGGGGAAGAAACUUGCUUCUAUAGCAAGGUUAAGACUGGAAUCCGAGUCCUAGUGUAAUGAUGCUUCCCCUUCAUCAAAGUGCCUCUUACCUUUGGGGCUGGAAUCAAGAAUCCUAAAGUCUGUUUGGCUUUGCAGCUAAAUGGUUGUAUCAUUUUAGGCAAGUCCCUUAAUUUCUCUGGGUCUCCUUAUAUAUAGAAAAGACAUAAUAUCUGUGAAAGGAUUUCAACAAAUUCAAAAUCACCACAGUGAAAUAUUUUCUGUUUGUCUAAAUCUUUAUACCUACAGAUCAACCACAGGCUAAAUGCAGAGAAAUUAUGAUCAUUGGUUGAAACGGAUAAGCAACAUCUAUUCAAUUUUUAAACCAUAUAUAUAAUAUAUGUAAUGUAUAUUAUAUAAAAUAUAUGUUAUACAUAUGU